rnacentral:lncRNA from 1 species
UUUUUAGGAUUCCAGGAGCUUCCGGAAAGCAGGCUUUUAUGGAAGGACACUUGGAAGGAGCGAAGUGCAAAAAAUGAACGAAGAGGCCCAAUGAUGCAUCUGCUGAACUUUUCAGUUGUCAAAUGCAAAUUAAGCACAAAGAGGACAGAGUUGAUGACAUAUCAGGAACAUUUUUUAUUUCCAGAGCAGGUCUGAGUCCCAGCGGAAGACUGAGGCCGACUGAGCCAGAGGUACCACUUCAACAGAGGUACCACUUCAACAGGUCACUGGUCUCUGCAGAGGAAGGAAAAGGUAUGUGGACUUCAUUUGACAGAUGUGGACUUCAUUUGACAGAUGUGGACUUGUCCAUGAUUACACAGCAAGAAAUAGAGCUGCAGUUGGUACCAGCGCCUUAUAACACUGGAUCUAUAAUAAUAAUAAAACACCACCAGUGUCAGUGCGUGUAAAUUUCACACCGCUUAUCACACUGCAUCUACAAAGUAGUGCUGAGAAUUAGGCAUGGCAGGCAUUAGUCUCUCCACAAGGAAACAAGCUCAGAGACUCUAAAGAUCCGUCCAAAUGCAUAGAGUGGGGAAGUUAUGGAAAGAGGAUGGUAGGACAUCCCAGCCCUGCCCAUGUUCAGAGCUUGUUCCAACACAUUAGUCUUCAGAUGAGCUCGUAUUUUAGUCUUACAUGCUCCAGCAAUGGCCUGAGAGGUGUAGGUACGUACUGAAUGUCCAGGCCUUGUUAAAGGUAACUACAGGAUGGGCCAGGUGUGAUGGCUCACACCUGUAAUCCCAGCACUUUGGGAGGCCAAAGCAGGUUGAUCAUGAGGUCAGGAGUUCGAGACCAGCCAGACCAACAUGGUGAAACCCCAUCUCUACUAAAAAUACAAAAGUUAGCGAGGUGUGGUGGUGCGUGCCUGUAAUCACAGCUACUCAGGAGGCUGAGGCAGGAGAAUCACUUGAAGCUGGGAGAUGGAGGUUGCAGUGAGCCAAGAUGGCGCCAUUGCACUCCAGCCUGGGCAACAGAGACUCCAUCUCAAAAAAUAAAAUAAAAUAAAAAAUAAAAGAUAACUGCAGGAUGAAUACACAAGUGCUAUGUUUAGAAAUUGAAAUGCUCCAAGUUUUUAGCAGUUUCAUCUGUAAUAGAACUCAGUUUCUAAGAGGCUCCACACCUGUGUCUUCUGGUAACAUACCUACUAGCUAUCUCAAAUCUGUUUUUGAACAAAGUAUGGGAAAGAUAAUACAUCAAAAUGAGCCUUGAUUUACACAGCAGCAGGCAAGUUCUCUGACAGAAAAUACUUUGUAAAUCACGAACCUCAUGUAAAUGCUAGGUAUUACUUAUAUUUUGAAGCCUGGAACAAUCAGAUGUUUGACAUUUUUCAAUUAGAAGUAUGGGGAUGAGAUACUUGUCCAUUGAAAACAUAACACAACCCAUAAAAUCUUAGUUUUUAAAUUGUCUUUUCUUUUUCUUUCUUUUUCUUUUUUUUUUUUUUUUUGAGACAGAAUUCUCACUCUGUCACCCGGGCUGGAGUGUAGUGGCACUGUCUCGGCUCACUGCAACCUCUGAUUCUCAGGUUCAGGUAAUUUUCCUGCCUCAGCCCCCUGAGUAGCUGGGAUUACAGGUGCCCGCCACCAUGGCUGGCUAAUUUUUGUACUGUUAGUAGAGACAGGGUUUCACCAUGUUGCCCAGGCUGGUCUCAAACUCUUGAACUCAAAUGAUCUGCCUGCCUCGGCCUCCCAGAGUGGUGGGAUUACAGGCGUGAGCCACCGCAUCUGGCCUAAGUUUCAUUUUUAACAACACAAAUUAGUUCAAUCAAAUAUCUUAAAUCUUAAAAUGAAAUCUUUUUUAACAGAAAAUCAAAUACCACAUGUUCUCACUUACAAGUGGGAGCUAAACAUUGGACACUCAUGAACAUAAAGAUGGGAACAGUAGACACUGGGGACUGUUACGGCGGUGAGGAAAGGGGUGGAGGGGGCAAGGGCUGGAAAAGUGUUGGAGACUAUGCUUAGUACCUGGGUGACAGGAUCAAUUGUAUGCCAAACCCCAGAAUCACACAAUAUUCCCAGGUAAGAAACCUGCACAUAUACCCUAAGAAUCUAUAAUAAAAGCAGAAAUUAGUAAAAAUAAAAUAAAAUAAAUGUAAAAAGAUAAAAAAUACUUUAAGCAAACCAAGCCACACACAAGAACCAAGAGGAUCCUUACAAAGAUUGCUUCUUCCUCUGGAGCAGACACCCACCAAGCCAACAGCCACAAGUAAGUUUCCUUGCAAUUUUUAAAGCCAAGGAUUUGCCACACUUUCGUAGACCUCACAUAAGCUCUUCAUUGCACAUGGGAAACCUAUGAACACUUUAUUUCUGCUCACAACUUCCUGUCUGGAUGUUGGCAUUCAGGGGGCCUGGGAAGGGGUUUGUGGCUGCAGGGCCCCCCCUGCUCUGUGGCUGCCACAUAAGGCCUUGUUUGUUACAAUGAAGUGAAUCAAGCUGGAUCUGAUAGGCCUAAGUUCUCUUUUCUUUUUUUCUCCAGGAGAAGUGAGAUUCCUCAAACGUGGGGUCUAGAUUUGCUGGAAGGAUGCUCAGCUAAACGUAGUCCGCAGAGAGGGAUGGGGGAAGAUCUUUGUUUCCUAGACCUGCGACUUUUCUAAUUUAAGUGGCCAAUAUAUGAUCUUUUUAAGGAAGGAGGUCUUAACACCAGCUUGGACUGCAGCGGAAAACUGGGAAUUCCUUGGCAGAAAAUCUCUACUCGGUUUAUUUUAUUUAUUUAUUUAUUUAUUUUGAGACGGAGUCUCACCCUGUCUCCCAGGCUGGAGUGCAGUGGCGCAAUCUCGGCUCAAGGCAAGCUCCGCCUCCCGGAUUCACGCCAUUCUCCUGCCUCAGCCUCCCAAGUAGCUGGGACUACAGGCGCCUGCAAUGGCGCCCAGCUAAUUUUUUUGUAUUUUUUUUUAGUAGAGACAAAUUUUCACAGCAUUAGCCAGGAUGGUCUCGAUCUCCUGACCUCGUGAUCCACCUGCCUCGGCCUCCCAAAGUGCGGGAUUACAGGCGUGAGUCAUCGUGCCCGGCCUAUUCGAUUUAUUUUUAUUUUUAGUUUUAGUUUUUAUUUAGAGACAAGGUCCCAGCCUGACCAACAUGGCGAAACCCUGUCUCUACUAAAAAUACAAAAAUUAGCUGGGUGUGGUGGCACACGCCUGUAAUCCCAGCUACUCAGGUGGCUGAAGCAGGAGAAUUGCUUGAACCCGGGAGGCAGAGGUUGCACUGAGCCGAGAUCUUGAGGCUACAAGACAGAGUGAGACUCUGUCUCAAAAAAACAAAAGACAAGGUCUUGCCCUGUCACCCAGGCUGGAGUGCUGUGGUGCAAUCUCGGCUCACUGCAGCCUCCACCUUGCAGGAUCAGGUGAUCCUCUUACCUCAGCCUCCAGAGUAGGCAUGCACUACCACGUCUGGCUUUUUUUUUUUUUGUGUUUUUAGUAGAGACAGAGUUUCUCCAUGUUGGUCAGGCUGGUCUCGAACUACCGACCUCAGGUAAUCUGCCCCCCUUGGCCUCCCGAAGUGCUGGAAUUACAGGCAUGUGUCACCAUGCCCGGCGUUUGAUUUUAAUUUUAACAGUACUUUGCAAACUCAACUCACACGUUUUCAGAAAGAUUUCAAGGUCUGCUGCCUCUGGGAUGAAAUGGAAACUCCUAGGCUGGGCCUGAGUGAAAGCAGCAUAGCAUGGCCAUAGGCAGAAGAGCCAGGCUGUGGAGGUGGCUGGAAUUUGGUCCCAACCUUGACCGGGUACAUCUAACAGUGAGCCAGGAAGGCUGCCCCACUUCCUGGAGGUUCAAGGUUUUGAUAUCUGAGAUGGGGCCAAUGCUAACAUCUAAACUCUUAAAGUUAUUGUGAAGAUUAAAAGAGAUAAUGAAUAAAAUGUCUCUUACCCCCAAACACUGAUGACCUCGUCCCUCACCCCCUUUUCCUCUUUUUAAUUAUCUUUCCUACGUUUUUCUCGCUUCUUAAUUCAUUGAGGUCAUACUCAGAGGAAGGCCCUAGACACGAGGGGAUCGUGUUGAAUUCCAUGAGGUUCCAGUCCUCAAGGAGAACAUCUCCUGGGGCAAACACACAAGUGAAUGGAAGGAUGGGGUACACAGGCUGCCCACGGGCUCGGAGGAGGACCAACUAACCUGGCAGUUCCCACUGUCCUUCUGGGUCUAGGUGACUCCUUUCCUAGCUUUGUGUCUACAGUUUUAUUCAUACCUAUUGUCUGUCUUGCAAGAAAUAUCCUUCAGGCAUCUGGGGGGAAAUGGGUGUGUACACAAAGAGAGGGAGAGAGAGCCAGAGCAAGUGCGAGAGAGAGCGAUAGUGAGAGAGAGAGAGAGAGAGAGAGAGAGAGAGACUAAUCCUCUGUUCCCUGACCACCCAGGGCUCCAAGGAGAAAUUGAAUAGGACAUGGCAGUCACUGUCCUUCCACUACUGGAAACACAUGAAAGUUGUCCAGAGAGCAGGUCAACAGUCAUUCGUGGGUGACAACAUAGGACUCUGGUGCAGGGAAGAAAGGCAGGUAGCAGAGUUCUUAUGAUGUGUGGGUCACAGAAAGGAGGCUCCAACAGGCUAGGGCUGGUGAACUCUCAACCCCUCCUUUGGGUCUCUGGAGGGCCCCAGAAGUGGCUGCCUAGGUAUUGAGCAGACAGGGUCCUCAGCCAGUCCUGGCCCCACCAAGGUGAGCCACGGGGGCUGUGACCAGGAUUCGGGGGCCUUCUCUCCACCCAGCCUUUCGGGCCUUCAAGGGCUGAAGCAGCAGUGGGGCAGGCCACGCCCAGUGGAUACGGCUUAUCAAGUGUCUGGCCCCCAUCUCUCUCCUGAGCACAAAAGCCUCUUGUGUGGCUGAGUGCAGAGAGCGGACACAGA